AAAGAAGAAGAAAACCAAAGGAACAACAUCAAAAGAAGAAAAAAGUAAAGAGCAUGUGCCAGUUACAUCCACAUUGGCCUUUUGGAGUGAUCAAUAUCCACAAACAACAAUGCCAACUUCAAAUGAGGCAGAAAAACAAAGUGAACAACUACAGCAGCAAUCAAAUUCAGUACAGAAUGGAGUUGAACCUAUUGAUGGAGCUGGGGAUGAGGCAAUGGCAGAGGGUGACAUUGGCGAUGAAAUGACCACUGCGAUGGAAUAGCAAUCUUGACAAUAAUAAUAACAAUAGAAAUUAGGAAUAAAUCUUAGCCAGAAUGAACUAUAAUCAACAGCUAAGACAGAAUUUCUUUGAUCAAACUCUGAUUGUCAAUUUCAUACUCAGUAUAAACAAGGCUUCUUUUGACGCCAGAUCUGGCAUCAGUUUA